rnacentral:rRNA from 1 species
AUUGAACGCUGGCGGCAGGCCUAACACAUGCGAGUCGAACGGUAACAGGAAGCAGCUUGCUGCUUUGCUGACGAGUGGCGGACGGGUGAGUAAUGUCUGGGAAACUGCCUGAUGGAGGGGGAUAACUACUGGAAACGGUAGCUAAUACCGCAUAACGUCGCAAGACCAAAGAGGGGGACCUUCGGGCCUCUUGCCAUCGGAUGUGCCCAGAUGGGAUUAGCUUGUUGGUGGGGUAACGGCUCACCAAGGCGACGAUCCCUAGCUGGUCUGAGAGGAUGACCAGCCACACUGGAACUGAGACACGGUCCAGACUCCUACGGGAGGCAGCAGUGGGGAAUAUUGCACAAUGGGCGCAAGCCUGAUGCAGCCAUGCCGCGUGUAUGAAGAAGGCCUUCGGGUUGUAAAGUACUUUCAGCGGGGAGGAAGGGAGUAAAGUUAAUACCUUUACUCAUUGACGUUACCCGCAGAAGAAGCACCGGCUAACUCCGUG